GACAUGGUCCCCUGCAUCCCAGCUGCUUCAGCUCCAGCCAUGGUUAAAAGAGGCCAAGGUACAGCUCAGGCCAUUGCUUCAGAGGGUGCAAGCCCCAAGCCUUGGCAGCUUUCACGUGGUAUUGCUCCUGUGGGUGCACAGAAGACAAGCAUUGAGGUUUGGGAACCUUCGCCUAGAUUUCAGAGGAUGUGUGGAAAUGCCCAGAUAUCCGGGCAAAAGUCUGCUACUGGGGCAGAAUCCUCAUGGAGAACCUCUGCUAGGACAGUGCAGAAGGGAAAUGUGGGGCUGGAGCCCCCAGACAGAGUCCCACUGGAGCACCGCCUAGUGAAGCUAUGAGAAGAGGACCACUAUCCUCCAGAUCCCAGAAUGGUAGCAUGGUAGAUCUAGCGACAGCCUGGACUGUGCACCUGGAAAAGCUGCAGACACUCAAUGCCAGCCCAUGAAAGCAGGUGGAAAGGUGGCUGUGCCCCACAAAGGCAUAGGGGCAGAGCUGCCCAAGGCCAUGGGGGCCCACUUCUUGCAUCACCAUGACCAGGAAGUGAGACAUGGAGUCAAAGGAGCUCAUUUGGGAACUUUAAUGUUUAAAGACUGCCCUAAUGGAUUUUGGACUCACAUGGGACCUGUAGUCCCUUUGUUUUGGCAAAUUUCCCUCAUUUGGAAUGAGUGUAUUUAUCCGAUGCCUGUACCCCAUUGUAUCUAGUAGGUACCUAACUUGCUUUUGAUUUUACAGGCUCAUAGGCAGAACAGAGUUACUUUGUCUCAGAUGAGACUUUUGACUUGGACUUUUGGGUUAAUGGUGGAAGAAGUUAAGACUUUGGGGGACUGUUGAAAAGGAAUAAUUGUGUUUUUAAAUGUGAGGACAUGAGAUUUGGAAAGGACCAGGAGCAGAAUGAUAUGCUUUGGCUAUACCGAAAUCUCGAGUUGUAGUUCCCAUAAUCCGCAUAUGUUAUGGGAGAAACCCGGUGGGAAGUAAUUGAACCAUGGGGGCGGUGACCCUGAUGCUGUUCUCAUGAUGGUGAGUUCUCAUGAGAUCUGAUGGUUUUCUAAGGGGCUUUGCUCCUUUCUUCAGCACUUCUCUUUCCUGCUACCACGUGAAGAAGGACGUGUUUGCUUACCCUUCUGCCAUAAUUGUAAGUUUCCUGACAUAGUUGGACUUAUGUUUAUGGUUUGCUCUUUAAUUUCUGUUUGCUUUUUGUUACUAUUGUUUUUGUUAUGCCGUUGUUUCUCUAUUCCCCUUUUUCAGUCUCAUUUUGGGUUAAGUGAUAUAUCUAUUAUUUCAUUUUAGUUCCUUCCGUAUCUUUCUCACUAUACACUUUUGUAAUAUUUUUAGUAGUUGCUCUCAGAAUUAACUAUGUAAUCUUAACACAGCACAGUCUACUCAGCAUUAAUACAGUGCUACUUCAUGGCAAGUGUAAAAAAUUUUCAACAGUAUAGUUUUGCUUCACAUUCUCAUCAUUUGUGUCUGCAUAUGUUACAAACUCCAAAAAACAGUGAUGUCAUCUUUCUUUACACAGUUACAUAUAUUUUCAAAGAAGCAUUAUAACCUUUUAUAUUAUCCACAUAUUUACCAUGUUCCCUGCUCUUCAUUCAUCUCUUUAAGUCUCACCUAGCAUCAUUUCCUUUCACUCUGAAGAUACCCUUUAAAGCUACAGUUCUUAUAGUACAGGACUAAUGGUAAUAAAACAUCUAUUUUCAUUUGUCUGAAUGCAUCUUCCUAUUAAUUUCUGUGAAGGAUUUUUUUUUUAUGAAAACAGAAUUCUGGGUGGGCAGAUUUCUUUGUCAACCAUUAAAAGACGUCAUUAUAUUGUCUUCUUGCUUCCACUGUUUCUGAUGAGAAGCUGACCAUCACGGAUAUCACUAUGCCCCAUGUAGGAAAUGCCUCUUUUUCACUCUGAUUGUUUUCAAGAUGUUUUUAUCUUUUAUUUUCAUCACUGUGACUAUGACGUGGAAAUUAAAAUCAUACUAGGUGUGCUUGUCUUUAUAUUUUGCUUGCUUGAAGUUUCUUGAGCUUCUUGAAAGUAUUUCACCAAAUUUGAAGAAAUUUCAACUAUUACUUAUGCAUUAUCUUCUCCUUCCUCUUUCUGGGACUCCAAGUACCUAUAGCUGUAUACAUUUGAUAUUAUCCCAUAAAUCACUAGUCUUCUGUUAAUAAUCAAAUCAUUUGCUUUUUUUCAAAUUGAAUGAUAUACAUUAAUCUAUAUUAAAUUCACUGAUCUGUUGUGCUGUCCCCAUUCUCCUGUUUAGCCCAUAUAGUAAAACUGUCAUUUCAAAUAUUUUAUUUGUAAUUCUAAAAUUUUCAUUUUUAUAUAACUAGUUAUUUCUUUAAUUACUAUUCACAUUUAUACCAGCUGUUUCAAAGUCCUUAUCUGUUAAUUCCAACAUUUUUUUUAUGUCAGGGUUAACUGCUUCUUCUCAUGACUAUGAGUAAUGUUUCUCUGUUUCUUCACACAUCUAGUAAGUUUUAUUUAAAAGGACAUCAUGGAUAAUAUAUUAAUGAGGCUGAAUUUUGUUAACUUACUCAGAAGAGUGCUGAUUUUUGUUAUAGCAGGCAGUUAACUUGCUGGAUUCACACUCCCAUUCUGCAUCCUCUACCUGUUUAGCAACUCGAGUAUCCACUCGGUUCUUUCAGUCGUCCAGCUAUGGCUUCCCACGGGCUCCCCUAGAGCCUCUUUUAUAUAAAUAUGCUUCAGAGAUCCACCAGAAUGUGUGUAGAUUUUAUAGGUAAAUCUGCAUCUUCCUUCCUAGUCUAUCUAUGUGUCUUUCAUUGAUACUUUCUAACUAUUCUGGACAUCUGUCUUUUAUUUCUCAAACUCAGUAAGACUGUAGCCUUCCUGAGUCUCGUCUUCCUUGCACCACAUGGAUUGGUGUGUACUUUGGGGGUGAAUAUCAAAUGCAUCUCAUUUUAUCAAGUUACAGUACCUCUCUUUCCAGGGUCAAAGCCCCUUCAAUUUCUGCCUACUUAUGGUUGUUGGGGAGUACCAUCAAACAGAAGGUGAUUUUUACUAUCCUAUCUAGAAUUUAUAAUUGCUAUCUAUGAUAGGAUUACUCCAAAACAAGCUACUCUGUUACUGCCAUAAGAGUAAAGGUGUUAGUUGUCCUUUUUUUUUUUUUUUUUUUUUUGAGAAGGAGUCUUGCUCUGUCACCCAGGCUGCAGUGCAUUGGUGCGAUCUCAGCUCACUGCAACUUCCACCUCCCGGAUUCAAGUAAUUCUACUGCCUCAGCCUCCCAAGUAGCUGGGACUACAGGUGCACGCCACCAUGACCAGCUAAUUUUUUGUAUUUUAGCAGAGACGGGGUUUCACUGUGUUGCCCAGGCUGCUCAUGAACUCCUGAGCUCAGGCAAUCCACCUGCCUCAGCCUCCCAAAACUGCUGGGAUUACAAGCGUGAGCUACUGUGCAAGGCCCUCAUGUUAAAAAACAGCUUUAUUGAAAUAUAUUUGGUACACAAUAAAUUGCACAUUUAAUUUAUAAAAUCUGAUAUAUAAGUAUAUAGAUGGUAUUGAUAUAAACUUGAUAUAUACACAAGGAACACUACAAUAUUUAUUUCCCAAGAUGCAAUAAUCCAAAUGUUAUGAAUCUGUAGUAAGGUAAUAACUCUGUAUAUAAUUAUAUGUUUUUUCACACAAAAAGCUCAUUACAGAGCUAAUUAUAAAAGUAAAAAAAAAGUAAGAACUUAAAUAUCUACAAAAAAUGAGAAAAAGGUCAAAACAACCAUGCAAUAGUCACAAGGUAGAAAGUUACAGAGCCAUUAAAACAACAUUUGAAAAGAAUUUGGGAUAACAUGACCAUAACUAUAUUAUUAAAAUGCAUGGAUAAAAGACUAAGAAGAAGUAUAACAUGGCUUUGACAGAGUUUUCAUUUGACUCAGGAGACUUUGAGCCAAUUUUGAAAUCUGACUUUGUUGGCAUUUUCCACCACGUCUAUGACAAAAACGCAUUCGUUUAAUGGUCAGAACUUUUUAUUUUCUUUGACAAAAAAAAUCCUGUCUUCAUUCCAAUUCUUCUGUAGUCCUUAGACAAUAAUUCAUUUCCACAUGCCAGCUGAAUGUCACCAUAUCUUUAGCAAACCCUUCGGUGACAGUGACAUGGUCAGAGUCUUGUGAGUCAUAAUGUUGAGGUCAGAAUAUUGCCUAUACCACCUAACCAAACAAAUGGCCAUUGGCCAGCCAUUUAAUUUCCCUGAUUAUCAUUUUCCUAUCUGUACAUCAAGGGCAAUAAUAAUAUUUAUUGGAGAGAAGACCAAAUGUAACAAGAGCAAAAGUGGUUUUAAACAGUAACACGCUUAAUAGUGCUAGUUUUCUCACCACGAUACACAGCUGUGAGAUUUUUAAACAGUUAGUUUCUCCUUCCCAAACUGAUCUUUUCACCAAGGACUUAGGGGUCAUUAAGGCUCCUUGGGGAUCGUGGCUGAGCUGUUUUGGUAGACAAGCAUUUGGCUAAGAACCUAAUCACAGAGGACUGGUGGAGUAUAUACAUACUUACACACACACACAUUAUCUAAUACAUUAAUAUAUCAUAUAUAUCAUAUAUAUAUCUAAUACACAUAAUAUAUAUAUUAGAUACCUAGUUGUUUAUCCAGGAAAGUUACUUUGAAAUAUGUCUUAACUGCAUAUAUUCUCCUCUUAUUCUAGCUCGUUUCUUUUGCAUAAUUUCUCAUCCUUUCAGAAUCACAAAAAAAAAGCAAUUUUCCCACUGCUAUUCUGGGGGGUAAAUUUAAGGUUCUUUGCAAGAAGCAAUAUUCUUUCUUCCCCCACUCCCACCAGCAGCCAAGUGCCUGUAAUUCAGUUCAGUUAGUUCUCUUUUAUUCACAUGCAUCGAUUAUUCCUUUAAAAACAAAAUAAUUUCCACUUAAAGCCUUUCAUCUGUGGAUCUCAGCACUUCAGAAACUAAUUAAUCUCCACAAUAUGCCUCGAUCAGCAUUAUCCCUUUUGUUUUCAGAUGAGCAAACAAACACUAUGAAAUUAAGCAGAUUGCUCAAGGUCAAACAAUAUGUCAACUUCUGAGCCCGAUUUGAACUCAGGAUCCCAUAUUUUUGCAUUCAGGGCUGGCAAUAGAAACACAAAGCUUGGAACACUAGUGCCCUGUUUGAAGCAGUGGAGAUGCACAGUCAUGGAUGUCUGCAUUGCAGGAUGCUAUGCAUGUUGGUAAUAAGGAGUAACAAUUUAGUAUAGUCUUCUAAACAGUUUCCAAAAUGAAAACGCCUUCCAAGAUUCUUGUUGGAAAAAGAACAGCCUACCUCUCCCACUUUUCUUCUUCUUUCCUUCCAGAGAGAGAUCAUAAUUCCCAGUUUGCCUGGGACAGGGCUGGUUUUGCUGGUUUCCUGACACAGUUCUUACAAUGAUCCCGCUUUUGCUUUCAACAGUCAUCCAGAUGACAUGAUGAAUUAAUUGGUCACCCAUAAAACAUUUGGACCUCUAACAUAACAUGAUGAGACACAGAAAAAUGGGCUCUAUGAAGGAGAAAAGAAAUUCUCCCUCUGAAUCCCUGCAGCAUGCAUCAUCUGAGUCCUCCUCAUGAACUGAACGUACUGAUGAGCACCCCUGCCACAGUGUGAACUUUGCUGGUUGCAGCUGGCAAAAGUGCAAAGCCAAGCUGGGUGAAAAGACUAAAAAAAGGGAAUUUACUAGUUUAGGUAACUCAGUAGUUAGAGGGAUAAAAGGGUUAAGGCUUAGCUGGAUCCAGGGACCUUUCAAGUGAUGUCAUUGUCCAACAUCUCCUGAACUCUCCAUCUCCACCUGUCAGCCCCUGGAAACCGCCAUUCUACUCUCUGCUUCUGUGAGUUCAACUUUUUUUAGAUUCCACAUAUUACUGAGAUGGUGUAUUUGUAUGUUUGUGCCUGGCUUAGUUUAUUUAGCCGAAUGUCCUCCAGGUUCUUCCAUAUUGCCACAAGUGAUGGAAUUUCCUUUUUGUUUGUUUUUGUUUUUGAAACAGCAUCUCGCUCUGUCAUCCAAGCUAGAAGGCAGUGACACAAUCAUAGCUCCCUGCAGCCUCAAACUCCUAGGUUCAAGCAAUUCUCCCACCUCAGCCUACCAAAGUGCUG
rnacentral:lncRNA from 1 species